GCCGGCGUAGCCGAAUUGGCAUAGGCGCUUGACUUAGGAUCAAGAUUUUGCGGGUUCAAAUCCUGUCGCCGGUACCA
rnacentral:tRNA from 1 species